CAACAGUUUGUGCGCUGUUUCAUUGUGGUGAUCAUUUUCUUAUGCAAAGCAUGUAGCAGCAGGGCUGUGAACAGCAGCAGCAUCACAGAAGGUCAUGAUGCAGCAUCAGGAAGCUGGCCCUCAUAUGCUGCUGUAGUUAUAGUUGGAUUUCAAUUUGGUGCGUCCUUAAUCAACGAGCAGUGGGUGCUGACAGCUGCAUCUUUCAUUCCACUUGACACAUUGACACGGUGGGAUCCAACAGUCUAUCUGGGAGGCUACAGCCUGUCAGGUUCAAACCCAAAUGAAGUGAAUCGGACUCUGGAGAAGAUUAUCUGCCAUCCUGAAUUCGACUUUGCAACUCUCAAGAACGACAUUUGUCUUCUGAAGCUGUCGGCUCCUGUGAAUUUCACAGACCACAUUCAGCCGACCUGCUUAGCCUCAGAA